UGCGGCAUAGUGUAGCGGUUAGCACCUUUGGUUUUGACUGUAAAUCAGUUCCAAAUAACCCGAGUUCGAAUCUCGGUGCGGCAU